rnacentral:lncRNA from 1 species
GGGGAAGAAGGGGUGGCAGGGUGCAGGCACACUUGCUGCUGUGGGGUCUGAUCUGUUUCUCACUCUGCCCCACACCCACUGGGGAGGGGUUACUGCUUUCCCUCCCUGGGCCUCAGUUUCCCCUCUGUGGGGAAAUGUUUUCUCCACAGUACCCUGUUAGCACACAGUAGGCCCUCAGGAUGCACUUGCUGGGUGGAUUUCUCCGAUGGGUGAUGGAGGAAGGGUCUGUCACUGCAGCUGCCUGUGGGAUCCUGAGUGGGGCUCUAGCUUUUCUGGGGUUGGGGCUCCAGGUGUGAAGUCAGGCAUAGACCCAGAAGGCUCUCUGUGUUCCCAGGGGAAAGGGACAGGCGGCUCCCAGGUAGGCUCCAGGAGAAGACUGCGGGGAAGCUGGUGGGUGGUGUGUGGGUGCUCAUGGCUGCCCUGCCCUGCCCAGGCCGAGCAGGAGCUCCGCGUGGCCCAGACAGAGUUUGACCGGCAAGCAGAAGUGACCCGUCUCUUGCUGGAGGGAAUCAGUAGCACUCAUGUGAGUCCCCCUGCCCACCCUCACUAAAGCCCAACCCUCAGCAGGCACCAGGUGUGCCUGAACCACAAAGUCAGCAGGGCUGCCCCCGAAUGGCCCUCACAGAGCAAGUCCCACCGGGGAGGGUGUGGGCGCAGGGGCAGCUGUGACACAAAGCCGGGUUGGAGGGCUCUGCCGGAACCCACUCUGGGCCCGGGCAUCUCAUGUGUAUGA